GCUGUAUUUAUUUUUCUAUGUAUGCGUGCGCAAGCACUUACACCUCACGGUUGUUCCCCGCACGAUAAAUAGAUGAUUGAUUGAUUGAUUAUUACUAUUAU
rnacentral:lncRNA from 1 species